rnacentral:lncRNA from 1 species
UUGAAUAUAACAAAUAAGGAAAUAUUUUCAGCAUAAUACAAGUGCACAACAUGUAAUACAUACUAGGUUCAGCAGAUUCUAAUAAAGGAAAAUAUUUAAGAGUCAGUUGACAACAUGCUCAACCAUAUAUUAAGGUAAGAAAAUAACUUAAAGGUUAGAAUCAGUAGAGAAUAUCACAAGAGAUUAGUGAAGGAUAUCAAUCACAAGGAAUCAAACAUCUCAAUGGACAAUAGUACUGAUUUAGGGGAAAUUACCAUAAAUCUCUAUGAACAAAUGGAAUAAACACAUAAUAGGCAAGAAGAGGCAAAAAUAAAAUAGAAACCCUAAUAGCAAAGUAGGGUUAAAAUCACACAAAAUCAGGGAUUCGCAUAGAAUAUAGUACUGAUUAGAGGGAUUAACAAAAUAAACAUAAUAUAGGCAGAAGAAGAAAAAAUUAGAAACCGUAAUGAGCGUAAUAGGGUAAAAUCACAGAAACUCAGAACGUUCAUGAGAAAAAAGCAUGCAUACAGAUUAAACGAACAAAUCAUGAAACACAGACUCAGAACCCAGGAUUAAGACCAAGAACUAGGGUUUUCAAUAUGAUAAAUCAGAUAAACGGGAAAAAAUUACAUAACCAUUUAAACAUAGUAAGAAUCAUAGAAUAAUACUAAAAAAUCAUAGGGAAAGUCAUUUGAAAAUGGGUUAAGAAACCCUAGUUUGAAGAUGAAAAGGCAUUUUUUGAAAUAAUCGGAGAGAUUCUUAAGAAAAUAGUAAAUAUAACUCAGAAAAAAUCUGUUACAGAUCUAAUAAGUCAAGAGCUAAAAUUAGGGGUUCAGAGAGAGAUAACCCAGAUAUAGAGAGAUUCCGUCUUAGAAGCCAAGGAUCUAGCUGAAAAAAGAAAGAUCUUACUCAGACAGGCCAAGAGUGGCCUGAGAACGACCAGAAUCAGACUAUUGAUAUGAGUUGAACAGCCGCUAGUCCUUUGAGGACCUUAGGGUAGCAAUAAUCCAACAUAGCGCGAGCUAUGGAGGCUAAGGGUGGUGGUGGAACCACCAUUGUUACUGACGAACCAAUGGCUGGUGAGAGGAGAAUAGGGCUUAGCAGAGAGAGAGAGAGCUUGAAAGAGAUGAGAGGAUGUAAC